UACGUAGGGAGCAAGCGUUGUCCGGAAUCAUUGGGCGUAAAGAGCGCGUAGGUGGCUUUAUAAGUCCGUUGUGAAAGUCAAAGGCUCAACCUUUGAAAGCCGAUGGAUACUGUGAAGCUAGAGUACGGAAGAGGCGAGUGGAAUUCCUGGUGUAGCGGUGGAAUGCGCAGAUAUCAGGAGGAACACCAAUAGCGAAGGCAGCUCGCUGGGACGUUACUGACACUGAGGCGCGAAAGCGUGGGGAGCGAGCAGG
rnacentral:rRNA from 1 species